rnacentral:rRNA from 1 species
GACGAACCGAGCGAACGUUGUUCGGAAUCACUGGGCUUAAAGGGCGCGUAGGCGGCUUGCCAAGUCAGGGGUGAAAUCCUGCAGCUUAACUGUAGAAGGGCCUUUGAUACUGGCGAGCUCGAGGGAGGUAGGGGUAUGUGGAACUUCCGGUGGAGCGGUGAAAUGCGUUGAUAUCGGAAGGAACGCCGGUGGCGAAAGCGACGUACUGGACCUCUUCUGACGCUGAGGCGCGAAAGCUAGGGGAGCAAACGGG